CAGGAAGUAGGCGAGGACAAGGAACAAGGCACAGGGGGACCACAUCACCUGACCUGAGCCCCAGUGCGUGGGAGGGGCCUGAGUUCCAAUGCCACUUGGCCGGAUUCAUGUCCCCAACCUACAUCCCCUCCUCCCAUGCCAGGCUGUCAAGCAGGGGAGAGGGAGGCUGUGGUGGCGCCAGCCCCAGUGGAGGCCAGGUCUGCAGAGGGCUGACCAGGGGCCGAGCGGAGAACGUCCCAGUCAGCGAGGGGGGUGCUGCUCUGUGCCCAGCUGUGCCGCCAGCAAGCGUCCCCAGGAACAAGGCCCGUCUCUGUCUUGGGGACAGGCACGCCUUUGUGGCCCUCCCCCGACCAGCAUGGCUCUAGUCCUUGUCCUCCCCUCCCCCACAGCUGGCCUCGGCCCCCAAACCCACUCAGGCCCGGCCGGGAGCUGAGAGGGGCUCCCCAUGCUGUUUAGGAAGAGCUUUUUCUUAUUCCUUUCUUUGUAACUUCUUCAAAAUAUUUGAUUUACCAAGAGGUUGAUGCAUGGAAUAGCACAGAGGUGAGAUGUCCCUCGCACCUGUAUCGAGCUGCCGGGAACAGAAUGGAGGCAGGAAGUACACCUUUACCUGGAGGGGUUGGCGCGAGGCAGGGGCGGCAGCAGCAGGGACGGGCUCCCAGGCGAGGCUGGUGCUGAGGACCCAGCUCUAUGCUUGGAGAAAGGUAAACAGGACCCCCACCAAAGCCUCAAAGGUGGAUGAAGGGUGGAAGUGCCAGACUAAUGGGAGGGGCACCGACGUUGUAGGAGGAAAUGUGGAAAUGGUCUUUGUGAUAAAGUCAACAAGCAAUUUUCUGCACAAAACUUCAAAAUGAGUGGAUGAGUUUGACUUCAUCAAAAUCAAGGACGUGCGUUCAUUCACCAAGGGGCCACCGGAAGCUGCUGGCUGCAGUAAACAUUCUCAGUAGCUAAGCCAGAAGGAGCAGACACCCUGGACCACAGCUCUCCAGGUGGGGUCUAAGGGGCCCUUAGGGGCCCUGAGCUCCAAACUAGUUUCAUGACAACAUGGAAGUGUGUUACAGGCUGGCAAAAUUCUUAUAAGAUGAGGUCAUUAGGGUAGGCCCUAAUCCAACUUGGGUGUCCUUAUAAUAAGGAAACUUAGAGACAUGCACACACAAAGAGAAUGUCUCGUGGAGAGGGAGGCAGAGGUGGGGGUGAUGCAUCUACAAGACAAGGAGCACCAAAGACAGCCUGCAGACCCUCAGAAGCUGGGGAGGAGGCCUGGAGCAGACUCUCCCUCGAAGCCUCAGCGGGAACCACCCCUUGAUUUCAUACUUGCAGCCUCCAGGACUGGGAGACAACAAAGUCCUGGUGUUUAAGUCAUACAGUUUCCGGUAAUUUCCCACGGCAGCUCCAGGAAACUAAUAUAAAGUGAUUUGCCUUUUUCACUGGGCUCUUGUUUGCACAGAUGGUGCAAAAGCCAUAGUGGGCAAAGCUGUUGGCUCCUUAGCAAGGAUCCUGGGGGGCCUGCCGGGGCGGGGCUCCCUCCUCCCCUCACUCCCCAUGGAAAGAAGUGCAGAGUCAAUUAGGGACGUCCAGGGUGAAUCAGCAAACAUUUCUAAUUUAACUGAAUCUAGUCUCAGCCCCAGAGGGUGAGGAAUGGGAUGUCACACCAGCGUCCUGCUCGCUCUGAGGGCCGAUGCCGCCCAGGAAGUGCCCUCCCGUGAUGUCCAGGUGUGAGCUGAACUGGCGGCUUGAAAGAACCACUGACCGACGGGCUGUGGUUGUUCAGGCCUGGGAUCUGGGCAGACGUUUUCUCCAAAGUGAAUGAGGGACCCUGUCACUUCAAGGAAAACAAGGGACAGUCUUCGUUGCCGUGGUAAAUUCUAGCUUUCAAGUGGAGAUGAGAAUUCUGGACGCUGCCCACAGUAAGCGAGACAGCUUCCCGCCCUGAAGGCCUGUCUGAGGAGCACGUGGUGAGGGUGCCGUGUUGGACAUGGGACGAGUCGGCCUGUGGGAGAUCUGUGAAACUCUGUGAACCUUGCUUUCCACGCGACCAAGGCAGGCUGUCCCGGAAUCAGGACAGAGCAAGAUGGACCGAGGGCGGAGAGGGGACUGGUUGGGCUCACGUUCCAGAUCGCAGCGCACCUUAAGAAACUGCCUCUUGUUGGGGUUCACUGUCAUAUCAAAGGAGACAGCCCACAAUUAUCCAAAAAGGCUAUUUACGUGCCCCUGCCUUUUCUGACUACCGUAGAAUCCGUGUGAAGCAGGAUUUUCUCCGUACACCUCAACCAAAACGAUGUACAUAGUCUCCCCAGAGACUGAAGGCAGCCCAGCGACGAGAUCCAGCUGCCCGCCGGGCACUGUUCUUGCCGUAUUUUUAAAAAUAAUUCUUUUCCAUAGAAAUGUGCUCUUUAUAUGUUGAAUGCUAGCUCCCCAAAAUGCCACCAAGUGACAUGUUGAUAAGGCUGUGUCGGCUCACCUACCUUGAGAGUCUCAGCAGGGUCUGAGGGGGCGGGGGCAAGCGUGGGGUGUGUGUGAGGUUUUGGGGUCUGGAUUAAGCGGGUCUUUUGGAGGCUAGAUUAGGAUUGGGCGAGUUUGAGACAUGAUUCGUUCAGGGUUGGUGGGCACAUAAAGGAUAGGAAGUGAGUUUAGAGACCCCAGGAGCCUGGCUGAGCUCUGUGCCUCCAGGUCCUAAGCAAUUGCUUUCAGGAAGUUCCCCAAACAAAUGAGGCACCUGCAACUUCGUCUGCCUGGGGCGCUUCCUGGUCCGUGAGGGGCUGGUAAACUGUGUGGUGCCCAUGGCUUCGUCAGCGGUCUGUCACUGCUGUUGUGAAAGGAAGAAUCAAGGCAUGUUGUGAAUUUUCAGUUUUAUUUUCUCAUACAGUAAAUACUGACAGAGAUAACCCACUAACAAAA
rnacentral:lncRNA from 1 species